UACGUAGGGUGCGAGCGUUAAUCGGAAUUACUGGGCGUAAAGGGCGCGUAGGCGGCCCGCUAAGUCGAACGUGAAAUCCCCGAGCUCAACUCGGGAACUGCGUCCGAUACUGGCGGGCUUGAAUCCGGGAGAGGGAUGCGGAAUUCCAGGUGUAGUGGUGAAAUGCGUAGAUAUCGGGAGGAACACCGGUGGCGAAGGCGGUCUGCUGGGCAGUUGCUGACACUGAGGCGCGACAGCGUGGGGAGCAAACAGG
rnacentral:rRNA from 1 species